CUGAUAUGGGAUAACAUGAAUCGUAUUACGAGGUUUCCUGCUUACGCGAGUCUACUGGAUCAGACUGUGGAUGGACGAGGGCUGCUUAUUUUGUGGUCAUACAGUCUCCAGGCAAUCAGGAACUCUAAAGUUCAAGGAGAAAACCAAAUAACUGAGUGAUACCGAAAUGAAGAAAAUUUUAAUGGACGGACAGGGGGGCGAAAGCACGGAAUGCGGUGAACUGGAGGACAUGCACAAGGGACGACAAAUUCCAUACGCAAUGCCAUAUUUUGAUAAUAAGUUUAUGACGCAUGAAUCUCAUGGGUUAGCAUGUUGGACGGACGUGAGACUGAAUUCUGUCCAAGUCAAAAUCGUUUUAUUCUUCGCAAAUGUAAAUGUUGCUGACUGCUGCAUUAUUAUUACUGUCUGUAGUGGUGGUAUUAGUAGCUAUAAUUUUCUUUUUCAGAAAAACUUGUUAAUCACGUCAAAACAGCGGAAUCCAAUGGCAUAACAUUCGUACGAAAUUUCGUGGCAAUCAGUCUCAAUGGUUGGAAGUAUAAGCCUGCAUUUUGUCUGAAGAUAUCAAGUAGAUUAAAAUGGACAUAUCCAAGUACCAGUGAUGGAUAUAUCAUGGACGUCUUUUUUGGAAUCAGACGUGAUCAACAAAACGAUUGUCGGGACGCAAAGGCUAACGGAAAAAAUCGUUUGCCUCUGCCGGUGAUCGAACCCUGCCCAUCCAGUGACUGAAGUCACAUACUACAGUCACUGGUCUGACACCGACUGAAAGACAAAACCGGAAGAAGCCGUUGAGGAAGCUUUCAAAGAGGGAAAAAGUGGGCUGAAACAACACGAGAUAUAAACACAGGCUGUUCAAUUCACAGCGCAGUCCCUACACACUUGAAUCACUGUUGGGUUCAGAGCAGAAAACCCAAUGUAUUCCAAACCUGCAAACUGAAAAGUCUUCGAGAAAGGAAAAAAAAACUCCUUUGCCGUCACAGGAGACCGAAAACGCACAUCUCAUUACAUGGAGAGUGUUAAUACGUCGCGAAGAUACGCGGGAUUCUAGUCGAAAGCACAACCGAGUAGGUAUGAUGAGGCAGAACGAGUGCUACUUCUUUGUACUGCGUCGGAAAACAUUUCAACAAAAUGCCGCAGUGUAAUAUACAAAAAUAUACCACGCUCAAAUGUGCACUCAAAUCCCAGAUAGACACAGCAAACAGUUUUUCUAAUGUCUUUUUAAUAUUAAGUAACACCGAGUUUUUAUUUGAACUCCUUAAUUCUGGUUCCACGACUAUUCAACCUUUCUGAACAGGACCCAUGCUCCUAGGACUUUAACUUUCUUACUCAGAAUCAUUCGAUUACUGCACCUGCAGAAUAUGGCAACCAAUCCUGAAUCACCUUUACACAUGUGCCUGGAAAUCGCAGGGCAUCACAGCAUGGCUACAAGGGGUUAGAUUGCCUCAUGGCGGUGGCCAUGAAAAGAGAACUAUUUAUUUAUGCUACUGAAGAGACGUUAAGUAAAAACAGAAUGCAAGGUAAUUGGUUCAAUAUGAAAUAUUACUACUGUAAAUGCGUACGCCCCAACUGAAUUGAUACAGAGGAUAACAAAUGUGAGGAAUUAGAAAUGCAUCUGAUCAGUUUCAUACGCAGUAUGCGAAGACAUUGCUGGAUUUAAAAGCCGCAGUCAAACAGGAGGACAUUUUCAGUUU